rnacentral:rRNA from 1 species
AUUGAACGCUGGCGGCAUGCCUUACACAUGCAAGUCGAACGGUAACGGGCCUUCGGGUGCCGACGAGUGGCGAACGGGUGAGUAAUACAUCGGAACGUGCCCGAUCGUGGGGGAUAACGAGGCGAAAGCUUUGCUAAUACCGCAUACGAUCUACGGAUGAAAUCAGGGGACCGCAAGGCCUUGCGCGGGCGGAGCGGCCGAUGGCAGAUUAGGUAGUUGGUGGGAUAAAAGCUUACCAAGCCGACGAUCUGUAGCUGGUCUGAGAGGAUGAUCAGCCACACUGGGACUGAGACACGGCCCAGACUCCUACGGGAGGCAGCAGUGGGGAAUUUUGGACAAUGGGCGCAAGCCUGAUCCAGCCAUGCCGCGUGCAGGAUGAAGGCCUUCGGGUUGUAAACUGCUUUUGUACGGAACGAAAAGCCUUCUUUUAAUACAGGAGGGUCAUGACGGUACCGGAAGAAUAAGCACCGGCUAACUACGUG